rnacentral:rRNA from 1 species
CAGUCGCCGCGGUAAUACAGAGGGUGCGAGCGUUAAUCGGAAUUACUGGGCGUAAAGCGUGCGUAGGCGGUUUGUUAAGUCUGCUGUGAAAUCCCCGGGCUCAACCUGGGAAUGGCAGUGGAUACUGGCAAGCUAGAGUGUGUCAGAGGAUGGUGGAAUUCCCGGUGUAGCGGUGAAAUGCGUAGAGAUCGGGAGGAACAUCAGUGGCGAAGGCGGCCAUCUGGGACAACACUGACGCUGAGGCACGAAAGCGUGGGGAGCAAACAGGAUUAGAUACCCCGGUAGUCCCUGUCUCUUAUAC